ensembl:lncRNA
CUUCAACUCAUUUUACUGUUAAUGGUCACUUCCGUUCUGUAUCACGCAAAGUUCUGAUUAAUACAACGAUGAAAAUGUCUUCAGACAGUUUCUGUAAAAAAUGAUGCCGUGGUGAUUUCUUUGCGUUUGGAGACUUAAAUGAAGGGUGUAUUAGCCUCUACUUUUUAAUUUAAAUACAAUAUCUUACUCACAAGUCCCACAACUAAGUGAGUAUUUAAAAGCUACAUCUGUAAUGAUUUGGUGGAAUCUUUUAGUGAGAUUGCAGCAGAGAGAACUGGGCUCAGAGUUUGAGGCUCAACGGCACAUAAAGUAGUUUAAUAUGUAGAAAAUACUAUUGUACAUUGUACCAGUUUCUACCAGUCAGUCAAAAUGUUAAUAUCAUUUAUAACAGCAGCAUGUAAAGCUCAUUUAUCAUCAGACCUGAAGUCCUGAAACGUUGAUAAUUAAUAUCAAGUGUCUGAAAAGCGCCUUAGAAGCACUCGCGGUGCACGAUGCUGUGAGCGGCCUCGUCCUCCUGCUUGCUGAUCCACAUCUGCUGGAAGGUGGAGAAGGAGCCGCCGAUCCAGACGGAGUAUUUACGCUCAGGAGGGACGACGAUCUGCAGCAGAGGAGGAGGAGCUAAUAAUAAUAAUAAUAAUAAUAAUAAUAAUACCACAUCACAACAGACACAAGGACGAUAAGAACAACCAGUUAUCACUGAUAAUAUAUUCAGCUUGUGAAACAUAUUAUUUUAUGAUGUGAAAAACUAAGCAGUGAAUAUUUAUCAUUUACUAUAAAUGACAAAUGCAGACGUCCAUUUAAGAGCUGCUCUGCAGUUUGAUUUGAAGAUGAGACGGGAGGUCAGUCGUCCAUCUUUAAGCAGGAGGAAGUGUAAAUAUAAAUACACAAUAUCACAUUGGGGGAAGGACAUAGGAGACAUGUCCCCUGCACCUUUUAAAAAACCCGUUUUGGUCCCCUGCUGUUUUUACCGUCCAAAAACAAUGUUACGCUACGGUAAACAGAGACUGGUCAAGCACUAGGACCCAGCGGAAAAAGGGCCGCUCAAGCUGAAGCCUGUUUCCCUCAGUUUAGACCAGUGUUCAUUUUGGCAGCUAUUUCUGAUUUAGUCUUAGGACGAAAAAUGCAUUAGUUUUAGUCACAUUUAGUCAUUUUAAUCCUUAGUUUUAGUCGAAAACUAGACUAAUGUAAUUAGUUUUAGUCUCAUUUAACAGCCAUAUUAAACUCCUUUUCUUCCCUUCUCAGGCCCAGGGACGCCCUGCGUUGUGUCUACAGCUGCAUAAUACUUGGUUGUCCAUCAGAUGUCCCUCCCAUAGGACAGGCCUAUAGAUGUCCCUCCCAUAGGACAGGCCUAUAGAUGUCCCUCCCAUAGGACAGGCCUAUAGAUGUCCCUCCCAUAGGACAGGCCUAUAGAUGUCCCUCCCAUAGGACAGGUCUAUAGAUGUCCCUCCUAGGACAGGUCUAUAGAUGUCCCUCCUAGGACAGGUCUAUAGCAGGUCGGCAAACGUUUUGACUCGCGGCCACAGUGGGUUGUAAAAUGUGACGAAGAACAAACGGU